rfam:Triticum aestivum genome assembly, contig: Triticum_aestivum_CS42_TGACv1_scaffold_114725_2AS
CACCGACACCCUCCAUCCCAAAAUACUUGUCUUAGAUUUGUCUAGAUACGGAUGUAUCAAGUCACAUUUUAUUAUUAGAUACAUCCGUAUCUAGACAAAUCUAAGACAAAAAAUUUGGGACAGAGGUAUUAGUU